CCGCUUGACAACAACGAACUCAUCUCGUACAUCUUCACCGGCCUCCCCGAUGACUACAACCCCGUUGUGACGUCCCUCAUCGCUAGGGCAGAAUCGAUGUCCAUCGGAGAGGUGUAUGCGUAGCUGCUUAGCUUUGAAC
rnacentral:snoRNA from 1 species